rnacentral:rRNA from 1 species
UACGUAGGGUGCGAGCGUUAAUCGGAAUUCUGGGCGUAAAGGGUGCGUAGGUGGCGCUGUAAGUCGGGUGUGAAAUCCUGAGGCUUAACCUCGGAACUGCAUUCGAUACUGCGGCGCUUGAGGACUGGAGAGGAGACUGGAAUUCAUGGUGUAGCAGUGAAAUGCGUAGAUAUCGUAAGGAAGACCAGUGGCGAAGGCGGGUCUCUGGACAGUUCCUGACGCUGGAGGCACGAAGGCCCAGGGGAGCAAACGGG